AGAUUGAACGCUGGCGGCAGGCCUAACACAUGCAAGUCGAGCGGCAGCACGGGUACUUGUACCUGGUGGCGAGCGGCGGACGGGUGAGUAAUGCCCAGGAAUCUGCCUGGUAGUGGGGGAUAACGCUCGGAAACGGACGCUAAUACCGCAUACGUCCUACGGGAGAAAGCAGGGGACCUUCGGGCCUUGCGCUAUCAGAUGAGCCUAGGUCGGAUUAGCUAGUUGGUGAGGUAAUGGCUCACCAAGGCGACGAUCCGUAACUGGUCUGAGAGGAUGAUCAGUCACACUGGAACUGAGACACGGUCCAGACUCCUACGGAGCAGCAGUGGGAAUAUGGACAAGUGGCGAAAGCCUGAUCCAGCCAUGCCGCGUGUGUGAAG
rnacentral:rRNA from 1 species